CUUAAAUUUAAAAAAUCGCAAUACAAAAAAAUCAACUAAGUUAUGUUUCUACAAUUUCCACUUCUUCAUUAACUUCAGAAGCUGCGUUUAACUGAUUAUAAAAAGUGUGGUAGACUGGCGGGAUAUAAGGUAGGUGUAAACCAGGUGUAAACAUUGCUGAAUUCUAUGACAACAUACAUUAUUUUUAUUUUAUAGGAUUUACAAGAUUAUUAUCUAUUAUACAACUAUAAUUGAGGGGACCAGAUGCUAAGGGUACAAGUGACAAAAUAUUGAAAAAUGAGUUAAGCGCAUAAAAUAAUACUAGAUAGUAGCAAAAAUUUACUGACAGAGACACAGUUGAAUUAAACUACUGGUGGCGAUAUAUCGCAAGUUCUAAGUAGUUUGACUACUUACAAAAUAUUCGAAAAGAGUUGGUGGCAAACCGGUGUAACUGUAACUACAUUUUGUAUCCUUUUGGUGUUGGCUAUUAUUUUUGGUGAAUCAUUUAGCAUCUUUGUAAAUCGUGCUCUUAAAAAACUGUCCAAAAUGUACCAAGUAAUUUUUCAUAAAUAAAAACGUUUAAUUUU